UGUGUUGAAUAUAUUUUGGGUGGUGUUUCACACUUUGUUUAUAGUUUUCUUCCGUUUGUCCUACGUGUUUCGUUUUGGGACCGCUCAUCACCUCCAUCCACAUUUACUCACCGCCUCCCUCGCCCAAUCAAAUACAGUUGCUUCCACCGCCUUCUUUCUUUCAUCUGCCUUCGUCUUUUGGUCUUUUGGAGUAGAUGACACCUCCAGUUCCUUCCUACUUUACCACCGCUCAAAGGGGCAGAAGAUUCGUCAACAUCAGCCGUCAGCUUCUUGCGUAACCCAGUUAACAGACUACAUAUCGAACAUCCGGAUACUUCCCAGUUCCCACCGUCUCUCUUAUCAGCUAAUCACCAGACGUGACCUCCUAACCGCCAUCAGCGAGAUCCUAGGAACGACGAUUAUGCCGUAGUGUCACAUGUCCUCAUAACAAUUCUUCAGUCGCUGCCUCCACUGCAGGAACGACAUAUGUAAUUGCAGUGCUUUUACAGGGCAUACCGGUGGUGUCAUGCUUUCUUCUUCAAAGAUUUCUAUUCGGCAACAACAUAUUGUACAGGAAGAAGAAGAAAUCGCCAAUGCAAUCGGCAUGCGGUGGGAAUGUUUUCUAUGUAAACUGAGACGGACUACUUCCUACUGCUAUUGAAGUGAUAUCAACCCUUGGAUUAAGUAGUCAGGAACAAAUGCAAUACGCUCCAUAUGUACCCUUGGUAUAUAGGUAUGUUGUCGCUGCAACUGUGUCAUUGGAUUCAACAAUUGUUUGGGUUGCAUGAGGACAUUUUUCUCAUCAAGAAUGAUUUUGUUGUCGUGUCUGUAGUUACCCAAUAACUAAACACUAGGGAGAGAUGCAUCCCAUAAAUCAAACUUCAAAGAGUUGGCUCAUCCCAGGUGUGAAGUCUGCUUUUAGUUUGUAAGGGGAAAAUUUUCUAGCAUGUAUUUUUAUUUUUUUUAAUUUCCGUUUAAUUCCUGAUAACGUACCCAACAAUGUGGAUUGCGUUUAUUAUGUCAUUGUGGGAUGGAUGUGUUUAUUGCAGGACCAAUUAAAAAAAACUAAUGAAGCCGUUAGAGGCAAGUCUUUUUUCUUGAACCAUUAUUACCGUUUUUCAUGUAUAAGUCAUCUUUCAAUUUAUAUGAUUUCAUGUACUACUUUACCCUCUAUCACAGUUUUUGCUGGAAGGGUCUUAGAAAUAUUGAAAAUUGAAGUGCCGUUUCUGUUCUUGAAUUUGUACCUGAUCAAGAAGCUUCACAUUCAGGUUUGAUCUAUGAAACAAUGGCUUUUGGUUGUAAAAUUGAGUCUUGGUGCUGUUUAAUGAUCUGGAUAUUAACAAUUUGCAUGAAAAGAAUAAAUCAAGUUCAAAAAUCAGAAUUUGAUAAUGAAAUUGACGGUGCAUCUUGACCUUGAUGCACCAUAUCCAUCUCUAACAAGCAACAAUAAUUCAACGAAUGAAGAUGUUGAGUGAAGCUCUAAAGGUAAGAGAUGUGUUGAAUCAAAGAAAACUAAUGUUAUGAUUAAAUCAAUGGUUCCCUUUCAUUCACUACGCUCUAUUUUACGUGAGUUUGUUCCGUUAUUUCUGUUAAUUUACUUAUUUGCCUAAAUAGGAUAGUUUCGUUGGUUUCUAAUUGUUAGUUACCUUUGUUUUUGGAAAACAGAUUAAAAUGAUGUCCUUGAAGCAUUUGAAUCAGUCUGUAUCUAGAAUUUAUAAUGUGAAUGGGGGCCUGAUGAGAUUGUAGGGGCUAAUUUAUAAAUCAAUCCAUCAGUUGGUCGACGAAUAGGUGUUGCAUCAGGUUUCACUUUUUAAUGAGGUUCACACCAGAGAGAGAAGAACUUGAUCUCUACAUGAAGAACGUUAUUAAGAAGGUCAGAAAGCACGAGCGGUUAUAGUAAUAACAUACGGUAUAAAUGUGAUAAGAGAUCUAUCUGUCGUCAGUUCAGGUGUACUUUUGCUCGACUUUUCUAUACGGAGGUUGCUAUCUCAACAAUUUGCUUACGUUUACAAAAUUGUCCUUAAAGAUCUCCAACGUAUUAUAGUAGGUUUUUUUUAAUUUUUUUUAUUUUAUUAUUAUUAUUAUUAUUAUUAUUAUUAUUUGUAUUCUAUUCUAUAACAUUCAUAUAAUUGGGUAGAUUUUUCAAAAUAAAUUAGGAUGUUAUACUAAGCA